rnacentral:rRNA from 1 species
UUAAUCGUCACCACAUGCAGUCACCAUAAACCACUGCACGCCAGAGAAGUACAAGCGAAAAGCUAGAAACUCAAAGGACUUGGCGGUGUCCCAUAUCAACCUAGAGGAGCCUGUCCCAUAAUCGAUACUCCACGUUAAACCCAACCUGCAUUUGCCUGCCAGCCUAUAUACCGCCGUCGCCAGCCUGCCUAAUGAUAGUCACACCGCAGGCAAAAGAGGCCCUCCUCCUAAUACGUCAGGUCAAGGUGUAGCUAAUAUACAGGUCACAGAUGGGCUACAUUUUCUUAAUACAAGAAAACCACCGCAUGCACCAUGAAACACAGGCCGAAAGGCGGAUUUAGCAGUAAGUCGGACAAGAAAGUCCAGCUGAAACUUGCUCUGGGACAC